rnacentral:rRNA from 1 species
GACGAACGCUGGCGGCGUGCUUAACACAUGCAAGUCGAACGGAAAGGCCCUGCUUUUGUGGGGUGCUCGAGUGGCGAACGGGUGAGUAACACGUGAGUAACCUGCCCUUGACUUUGGGAUAACUUCAGGAAACUGGGGCUAAUACCGGAUAGGAGCUCCUGCUGCAUGGUGGGGGUUGGAAAGUUUCGGCGGUUGGGGAUGGACUCGCGGCUUAUCAGCUUGUUGGUGGGGUAGUGGCUUACCAAGGCUUUGACGGGUAGCCGGCCUGAGAGGGUGACCGGCCACAUUGGGACUGAGAUACGGCCCAGACUCCUACGGGAGGCAGCAGUGGGGAAUAUUGCACAAUGGGCGGAAGCCUGAUGCAGCAACGCCGCGUGCGGGAUGACGGCCUUCGGGUUGUAAACCGCUUUCGCCUGUGACGAAGCGUGAGUGACGGUAAUGGGUAAAGAAGCACCGGCUAACUACGUGCCAGCAGCCGCGGUGAUACGUAGGGUGCGAGCGUUGUCCGGAUUUAUUGGGCGUAAAGGGCUCGUAGGUGGUUGAUCGCGUCGGAAGUGUAAUCUUGGGGCUUAACCCUGAGCGUGCUUUCGAUACGGGUUGACUUGAGGAAGGUAGGGGAGAAUGGAAUUCCUGGUGGAGCGGUGGAAUGCGCAGAUAUCAGGAGGAACACCAGUGGCGAAGGCGGUUCUCUGGGCCUUUCCUGACGCUGAGGAGCGAAAGCGUGGGGAGCGAACAGGCUUAGAUACCCUGGUAGUCCACGCUGUAAACGGUGGGUACUAGGUGUGGGGUCCAUUCCACGGGUUCCGUGCCGUAGCUAACGCUUUAAGUACCCCGCCUGGGGAGUACGGCCGCAAGGCUAAAACUCAAAGGAAUUGACGGGGCCCCGCACAAGCGGCGGAGCAUGCGGAUUAAUUCGAUGCAACGCGUAGAACCUUACCUGGGUUUGACAUGGAUCGGGAGUGCUCAGAGAUGGGUGUGCCUCUUUUGGGGUCGGUUCACAGGUGGUGCAUGGCUGUCGUCAGCUCGUGUCGUGAGAUGUUGGGUUAAGUCCCGCAACGAGCGCAACCCUUGUUCACUGUUGCCAGCACGUUAUGGUGGGGACUCAGUGGAGACCGCCGGGGUCAACUCGGAGGAAGGUGGGGAUGACGUCAAGUCAUCAUGCCCCUUAUGUCCAGGGCUUCACGCAUGCUACAAUGGCUGGUACAGAGAGUGGCGAGCCUGUGAGGGUGAGCGAAUCUCGGAAAGCCGGUCUCAGUUCGGAUUGGGGUCUGCAACUCGACCUCAUGAAGUCGGAGUCGCUAGUAAUCGCAGAUCAGCAACGCUGCGGUGAAUACGUUCCCGGGGCUUGUACACACCGCCCGUCAAGUCAUGAAAGUUGGUAACACCCGAAGCCAGUGGCCUAACCGUUGUGGGGGAGCCGUCGAAGGU